rnacentral:lncRNA from 1 species
AAUCGCGUCGCGUUGUCGAAUCGCGUCCAGCGUGUCUGGACCUUUAAUGCGCAGAUACAUGUACGCGGUCGCGUACCUAUUUUUUGCUUUGUUUUACAGAUCAUUACUGAACAUGCUAUGAAAUAUUGAUUUAUAAAAUAUCGUGUUACCAAGAUGAUAUGCCUCGAGGAGCAAUACAGGAGGAAAUACCUCUAUUUCUGAUCAAAUUACAACAAUACACCAAAGACAGUAGUUAUGAUCAUGAAGCUAUGAAUUUAAAGAAAAUGUACCAAACGACAAAGACAAUGAUGAUGAAAUUGGAUGCCUCGGAUGAAAUAAAUGAAAGGAUUGAAUGUCAUGGUCAGCAGUCGAUAUUUGUGACUAUACUAAAUGGCUACAAAGAAACUAUGAUGGAUAUACAAAGGUCACAGAAAUGUCUACUUUCAGGUACUAUUCUUUCUUGUUUGCCUGCGAACAGGCUGUAGAUAUGUAGAUAUUGUAACAAUGAAAUCCGGCAUAAAUCCUGGCGGUAUAAAUGUUUAGUAUAUUUACACAUUCGAUAUAUUUUCUGUUCAGUUGACUUUGAUAGCUUGAAUGAAAGUUUACGAUGAUUUUCUUUGCAAAAACUGUACUUUCGGAAUUCAUCAGCUUCUGAAUUUGAAAACGGAUCUGAAAAGAGAACAUUUGAGUGUAUGGUUAUUGCAUGGUUCUAAUGAUUCGUUUAUGUUACCAUUGUUUCCCUCUGUGUAAAUAUACUGCCUUGGUGCACGCGCGUUACAAGCGCAGCAACGCAACAGUUUAGACAGGGUCAUGAGGCAGGAUGUGUACAAGAAAAGCUUUGCCAGAGUUUUGUCUUUUGAAAUACAACGACGAUUGGAAAUUGCUGUUUGAUUCUUUGUAAUAUCUUGUUAGUAAAAAAGAAAUUUGUCACUUUCCUCGUGCAAACCUUUUUCAAAAAACUGGCAUCGUUUGUCUUGGGGUUAGGGGGUACAAAUGGUACCCAUAGCUUAGAGGGUGCAAAUGGUACCCGUAAGAAGACUUGGUGGAAAUCGUGUUGGUCGUUUGGAUUGGCGAGAAUAAGGCAAUUAUGGUGGCAAAGUUUUUUCCAAACAUUUUCUCUCCCGUAGCAAGGUAAAGCAUGUAUAUUCCUGGUAGCCGGUCU